UGACCGUCCUCGAGUUGGCAUAGGAGCAAAUACCCCGAGGUUACGACACCCAGGAAAAGAAGAACUUUUAACCUCGAGUUUAGAGCUGCUGCGACAAGGGCGGCGGACGGCCAAGGUAAAUGAGGAUGCCCUGCUCUUGUGGGGUAAAGCUGACCCCCAACACCCUUGCUACACACCUGCCUUCGACCUCAGUCGCUUCCAGUCGUGACCUCGGACGGAUGUCCCAGCCAGCCAGCCUUCCAUUUUAGGCCUACCAAGGCGUUACUGGCGUGCCCACAUCUGAGACAAAGCCGACGCCACAUUUCUACAAAGUUCCACUUAUUUUGGCAUCCAGGAUGCCCUGCUCUUGGGGGGUUAAGCUCACCUCCAACACCCCUGCUACACACCUGCCUUCAACCUCAGUCGCUUCCGGUCGUGACCUCGGACGGAUGUCCCAGGCAGCCAGCCUUCCAUUUUAGGCCUGCCAAGGCGUUACUGGCGUGCCCACACCUGAGACAAAGCUGACGCCGCAUUUCUACAAAGGUCCACUUAUUAUGGCAUCCAGAUUUCCUGAGUCACGUGUCCAAGUCUUCGUGCCCGCAAGUGAUGCUUUACCGCAAGACGUAUGAACAAUUUUGAAAGCCAGCUUUUACGUGAAAUGCAUUUUUAGCCAACUAUCCCCUUGUGAGAGAUAAUAUUGGUCCCAUGUGUGGACAAGUUGCAUUUACU